UUGGCCGGCGGUGAGUGGGCGGGGGUUAGGUACAAGCGGCGGGCACUGACUGGCUGGCAUCUGUACCACUACCACCAUCAUUCACUCAGUCGGGAAGGAAGAAGUGAGAGUGAUAACUGUGACUUCUGUGAGAUUUUCCGCUUUGUGUGGUGAAUUAGCGGACCUGGUUAUUCAAUUACGCGUGUGGAUGCCCGUAGAGGACGUGCGGGGGUGGAAGAAGAUAUGGAAGCGUGAAAUGGAGGCGGAUGGCGUGAAGAGAGGUUAGGUCACUGGUUUCUCGUCCCCGGCCUCCUCCCCGCCAUUAACCGUGCGCAGAGGCCGCGGCAUGACCUCCCCCCUCCCUCCACUCCCCGGCAUCACCACGGCUGCACUCAACACCCGCCACCACCACCACGGCUGCACUCAAACCGCCCCUCCCCCCACAUCACCACCACCACCACCACCACUGCCUGGCCCUUCACUGCUCCAGAGGUAAGAGGAUUGAUUCCCGUGUCCACGUGCCAGGUGCCAGUGUCCAGGAUGAUGAGGUGGCGCGCAAACAGCACCGCUACCUGAUGAAAGAAUAUUUCUUGACCACAUCACCAAUAGGGGAGGACGGGGGCGGGGGAUAGAGAUGAGGUGAUGCGCGAGAAAGCACCUUACGUUUUACUACCGAAGCACCUCAGGGUAAUGGCCACACCUGCCCCGUAGGAGUGAUGCCCGCAGCGGUGGUCCCUUCAGAGCCACGCGCACCUCACCCAAGUCCCAGGCAGGUGUAGUCACAAGCACCGCCGGCCACACCUGCUUGCACUGGUCGGUAAAGCUGAUGAGAGAUGAGCCGUGAUGAAAGGGAUCUGAUGGAGGUACUUAAGUGGUAUUAGAGACAUAACAAAGGUGAUGUGGAUAGGUUACUUAGGGUUAUUAGUUAAGAUAGGACAAGAAGUAACGGGUUCAAGGUUAAUGACUAUAGAUUAUAAAAUGAAUGAGAUGGGGAAAAAAUGAAUGUUUUAAAAAGAUAUUUAUGGAUGUGAAUGAUAUGACCGGGUUUUUAGUUAAGAUGGGACGUGAUGCAACGGGCACAGUGUUGAUAAGUAAAGAAAAGAGAGAAAGUACUUGGGUGCUCUAAAAAAGAUACAUUUACGGAUAGGAAUAAUGUGGUAUGGACAAGAUCUUUAGGCUUAGUAAGAUUGCACAACGAGUAACGGG